AUUGAACGCUGGCGGCAGGCCUAACACAUGCCAGUCGAGCGGUAGAGAGAAGCUUGCUUCUCUUGAGAGCGGCGGACGGGUGAGUAAUGCCUAGGAAUCUGCCUGGUAGUGGGGGACAACGUUCGGAAACGGACGCUAAUACCGCAUACGUCCUACGGGAGAAAGCAGGGGACCUUCGGGCCUUGCGCUAUCCGAUGAGCCUAGGUAGGAUGAGCUAGUUGGUGAGGUAAUGGCUCACCAAGGCGACGAUCCGUAACUGGUCUGAGAGGAUGAUCAGUCACACUGGAACUGAGACACGGUCCAGACUCCUACGGGAGGCAGCAGUGGGGAAUAUUGGACAAUGGGCGUAAGCCUGAUCCAGCCAUGCCGCGUGUGUGAAGAAGGUCUUCGGAUUGUAAAGCACUUUAAGUUGGGAGGAAGGGUUGUAGAUUAAUACUCUGCAAUUUUGACGUUACCGACAGAAUAAGCACCGGCUAACUCUGUGCCAGCAGCCGCAGUAA
rnacentral:rRNA from 1 species